UACGUAGGGUGCGAGCGUUACUCGGAAUUACUGGGCGUAAAGCGUGUGCAGGCGGUCUGUUAAGACAGGUGUGAAAUCCCCGGGCUUAACCUGGGAAUUGCGCUUGUUACUGGCAGACUAGAGUGCGUCAGAGGGAGGUGGAAUUCCACGUGUAGCAGUGAAAUGCGUAGAGAUGUGGAGGAACACCGAUGGCGAAGGCAGCCUCCUGGGAUGACACUGACGCUCAUACACGAAAGCGUGGGGAGCAAACAGG
rnacentral:rRNA from 1 species